ensembl:snRNA U6 U6 spliceosomal RNA
GUGCUUGCUUCAGCAGCACAUAUACUAAAAUUGGAAUGAUACAAAGAUUAGCAUGUCCUCUGCACAAGGAUGACAUGCAAAUUCGUGAAGCAUUCUAUAUUUAA